GACGAACGCUGGCGGCGUGCUUAACACAUGCAAGUCGAACGGAAAGGCCCUGCUUGCAGGGUACUCGAGUGGCGAACGGGUGAGUAACACGUGGGUGAUCUGCCCUGCACUUCGGGAUAAGCUUGGGAAACUGGGUCUAAUACCGGAUAGGAGCCAUCUUUAGUGUGGUGGUUGGAAAGUUUUUUCGGUGUAGGAUGAGCUCGCGGCCUAUCAGCUUGUUGGUGGGGUAAUGGCCUACCAAGGCGGCGACGGGUAGCCGGCCUGAGAGGGUGUACGGCCACAUUGGGACUGAGAUACGGCCCAGACUCCUACGGGAGGCAGCAGUGGGGAAUAUUGCACAAUGGGCGCAAGCCUGAUGCAGCGACGCCGCGUGGGGGAUGAAGGCCUUCGGGUUGUAAACUCCUUUCGCUAGGGACGAAGCUUUUUGUGACGGUACCUAGAUAAGAAGCACCGGCUAGCUACGUG
rnacentral:rRNA from 1 species